UACGUAGGGUGCGAGCGUUAAUCGGAAUUACUGGGCGUAAAGGGUGCGCAGGCGGUCUCGUAAGCUGGGUGUGAAAGCCCCGGGCUUAACCUGGGAAUGGCAUUCAGGACUGCGAGGCUUUGAGUGUGGCAGAGGGAGGUGGAAUUCCACGUGUAGCAGUGAAAUGCGUAGAGAUGUGGAGGAACACCGAUGGCGAAGGCAGCCUCCUGGGCCAGC
rnacentral:rRNA from 1 species